GUCCCGUUUUAAAAAGAUCAAUCGUAAGAAUGAUGUUUAACUCCAGAGAGGAUUUGACUGACCCAAAAAUGAAAGAAAACUUAAUUAUGCGGCUGGGAUCCGCUCUGGCUGACAGAGGACUCACGAACGUGACUCUGAGUUGGAUUCAAAGCCCCAAACAGGUGAUUCAGAAGGUGAACGCUCCUAAACGUUGCAUUAAAGUGCUGUGAUGUACUGGAAAGAUCAACGUUGCUUCAUAAUUACUUAUUUAUAAAGGAUUUAUAAAGGUUGUGUAUCACUGAGCACAGGAUAUUCUCUAUAUAUGCUCCAGAACGGAUGACAUCGUGGAAGAUAAUUCUUCAACUAAGAAUGUUUUUAAUUGAUUAGUUUUCUAUUGAUUUGUGUGAUUUAUCUUUUGUUGAAUUUAUUGUUUGCCGUUUUAGCAUUGUUGUGUUUUUAAGUAAGCUUUUAUGCACAGAAAGUAAUUUUUAAAGGCUCUAUAUAAAAUGAAUGGAUUAUUUUUAUUUGUGUUUAUUUAAUGAAAUAUGAGUGACCUCUGCUGGCCAUAUGUUUAACUUUGAGAGCACUCCCUUCCUGUGUAAUGAACUUCUCAUGCGGAGAUACGACGACGGUGGAAGACUUUCAAAACUAAUUGCAAAAGCCCUUAUUAAAUGAAGACAUAAAUAGAUCAGGACCGCACAAUUAAUCGAUUUCAUAAAUCACAAUUACAGAUGCCACAAUUAUGUAAUCAAGUGGCAAUUAAUCAAUUAUUCAAAGCCUUCUUAUGGUAUUCUCCAUUCUUAAGAUGCUUUUUAUUCUUUUGGUUAUCAUAACAGGUUUUUUUCCAUUGUUGUAUUUUAGUAUACAGUAAUAUAGCAUUAUAAUUUUGCUUUUUUUAUUAUUUAUUUAAAGAAUAAAACAAUCCAAUGUAUAAUUAACAUUUAAUGCUUAAUACUAUACUAAUAGAGUUGAUAUUUAUUUAUUAUUAUUUGUAGCCCUGAAUACAUGAACAACAUCUUUAUUAUUUUA